GACGAACGCUGGCGGCGUGCUUAACACAUGCAAGUCGAACGGUAAGGCCCUUCGGGGUACACGAGUGGCGAACGGGUGAGUAACACGUGGGUGAUCUGCCCUGCACUUCGGGAUAAGCCUGGGAAACUGGGUCUAAUACCGGAUAUGACCAUGCGCUUCACGGUGUGUGGUGGAAAGCUUUUGCGAUGUGGGAUGGGCCCGCGGCCUAUCAGCUUGUUGGGGGGGUAAUGGCCUACCAAGGCGACGACGGGUAGCCGGCCUGAGAGGGUGACCGGCCACACUGGGACUGAGAUACGGCCCGGACUCCUACGGGAGGCAGCAGUGGGGAAUAUUGCACAAUGGGCGCAAGCCUGAUGCAGCGACGCCGCGUGAGGGAUGACGGCCUUCGGGUUGUAAACCUCUUUCAGUAGGGACGAAGCGCAAGUGACGGUACCUACAGAAGAAGGACCGGCCAACUACGUGCCAGCCGCCGCAGUAA
rnacentral:rRNA from 1 species